GCCGUCUUAGCUCAGUCGGUAGAGCGCGUGACUUGUAAUCUCGAGGUCUUCGGUUCAAAUCCGAAAGACGGCU
rnacentral:tRNA from 1 species